CGGUAAUUCCAGCUCCAAUAGCGUAUACUAAAGUUGUUGCAGUUAAAAAGCUCGUAGUUGGAUUUCUGCGGGGACGGAGCGGCCGGACGCAACUUGCGUCUCGAGCUAGCGCUUUCCCCGCAUCCUGCCGCGAACCGUGCUACCAUUAGCUUGGUGGCGCUGGGGAUCGGCUCGAUUACUUUGAGAAAAAUAGAGUGUUCAAAGCAGGCCACACGCCUUGAAUAAGUUAGCAUGGAAUAAUGACUAAGGACUUCGGUUCUAUUUUGUUGGUGUUCGGGACUGAAGUAAUGAUUGAUAGGGACAGUUGGGGCGGUCCGUAUUCCAAAGCGAGAGGUGAAAUUCUUAGACCUUCGGAAGACGAACAGCUGCGAAAGCGUUCCGCAAGGAUGUUCCCUUUGAUCAAGAACGAAAGUUGGGGGAUCGAAGACGAUCAGAUACCGUCGUAGUCUCAACCGCAAACUAUACCAGCUAGGGAUGAGUCAGCGUUAUUUCAUACCGACCUGAUUCGCACCUUAUGAGAAAUCAAAGCAUCUGGGUUCCGGGGGGAGUAUGGUCGCAAGGCUGAAACUUAAAGGAAUUGACGGAAGGGCACCACCAGCCGUGGAGCCUGCGGCUUAAUUUGACUCAACGCGGGAAAACUUACCAGGUCUAGACAUAGUAAGGAUUGACAGAUUGAUAGCUCUUUCUUGAUUCUGUGGGUGGUGGUGCAUGGCCGUUUUUAGUCGGUGGAUGUGAUCUGUCUGCUUAAUUGCGUUAACGGACGAGACCCCAGCCUGCUAAAUAGCGCGGCCGAGCUUUGCUCGGUGCGAGCUUCUUAGAGGGACCAUGAUGCGCGAUAGCACAAGGAAGUUUGGGGCAACAACAGGUCUGUGAUGCCCUUAGAUGUUCUGGGCCGCACACGGGCUACACUGGCGCCUGCAACGAGCAUAUCAGCUGGCCCGAGAGGGUCUUGGCUAAUCUUUGGAACCGGCGCCGUGCUUGGGAUUGACCAUUGCAAUUGUUGGUCAUGCAACGAGGAAUGCCUUGUAAGCGCGAGUCAUCAGCUCGCAUUGAAUACGUCCCUGCCCUUUGUACACACCGCCCGUCGCUCCUACCGAUGAAUGUUCCGAUGAAAUUUUCGGAGAGCGCCGGAGAACGGGGCUCCGCCCUGCAGAACUGGAGGCUCAAAGUCACUUAAAUCUGAACAUUUCGAGGAAGGAGAAGUCGUAACAAGGUAGCCG
rnacentral:rRNA from 1 species